GGGCGUGUAGCUCAAUGGCUAGAGCGCUCGCCUUACAAGCGAGAGGUUCCCGGUUCGAGACCGGGCAUGCCCA
rnacentral:tRNA from 1 species